GACGAACGCUGGCGGCGUGCUUAACACAUGCAAGUCGAACGGAAAGGCCCUGCUUUUGUGGGGUGCUCGAGUGGCGAACGGGUGAGUAACACGUGAGUAACCUGCCCUCGACUUUGGGAUAACUUCAGGAAACUGGGGCUAAUACCGGAUAGGAGCUCCUGCUGCAUGGUGGGGGUUGGAAAGUUUCGGCGGUUGGGGAUGGACUCGCGGCUUAUCAGCUUGUUGGUGGGGUAGUGGCUUACCAAGGCUUUGACGGGUAGCCGGCCUGAGAGGGUGACCGGCCACAUUGGGACUGAGAUACGGCCCAGACGCCUACGGGAGGCAGCAGUGGGGAAUAUUGCACAAUGGGCGGAAGCCUGAUGCAGCAACGCCGCGUGCGGGAUGACGGCCUUCGGGUUGUAAACCGCUUUCGCCUGUGACGAAGCGUGAGUGACGGUAAUGGGUAAAGAAGCACCGGCUAACUACGUG
rnacentral:rRNA from 1 species